rnacentral:rRNA from 1 species
UACGUAGGGACCGAGCGUUGUCCGGAUUCAUUGGGCGUAAAGAGCUCGUAGGCGGCCACUCAAGUCGAACGUGAAAACCCGGGGCUCAACCCCGAGCCCGCGUUCGAUACUGGGCGGCUAGAGUCUGGUAGGGGGAUCUGGAAUUCCUGGUGUAGCGAUGGAAUGCGCAGAUAUCAGGAGGAACACCGGUGGCGAAGGCGGGAUCCUGGGCCAGUACUGACGCUGAGAAGCGAAAGCAUGGGGAGCGAACAGG